UUAUCUAAAAUCAUAAAAUAGUGUUCUAUCUUUAUUAUUAGAAGAAAUUCAUUGUAUUUCUUCAAGUCACGAGAACGUAUCAGAGAGAGAAAGAGAGAGAGAGAGAGAGAGACAUUGCAGCAUAAUUAACUAUGAAACUAAGGGCAUGAUACUCGCAAAAUUGAAAUACGUGUGUGACUAUACUUGACUUGCACCACUAUAAUUUUCAGCCCGCUAUAUGUGAACCACAGUAUCGAACUUGAUUGGCUACAUUCUAUGUCUACAUGUACUUCCUCUUUUCCUCCGCUUUCUUUUUCCCCUGCGGCCACCUGCUUAACGUAGCACGGCCGGCGCUAAUCUCAAUUAGUCUUUAUUGCCGGCUUGGCGACGCCGGACGACGACGAUGGGUUUCAUGCACGGACGCGGCUUAAUGCGCUCGCCGCGACCUCACACGAGCAUUCCAGAUACGCGACAGGAUCGUAGCGAAAAAGAGAGAGAUGGAAGAACAUCUCGCCGACUCUAGAGAGUAGGACCUGCCUGAAUGCCGCCCGGGGCGCUAGUGAGGGUUGUUGAUCGAGAAUUUAUCGGGACUAAGCAAACGGGAGAAAUGGAUAAUUAAAGCGAAACGAGCGGUCGACGCGGAAAAGGUCGGAACUCGGCGUGAGGUCGAAACAUGUACGGCGAUCGCGACGUCGCACAGGUUUACUAUAAUCGAGACUGAUUGGAGAGAUGUUCACUAUUCGUAGGCCGGUCGGCGCAUCAAACAUAAAAAGAAGAUUAAAACGGAAACACCCAAUAGAUCUCAUAAAGGACAUAACCCAGCAAACAAACACUCACCACACUAAAGAAAUAAAUCAAUCAAAUUCGAAGAUGGUAUCCCACUGGGGGUAGCCAUCCACAUGUUAUAUUAUUAUACCACUAAGCUAUAAUAUUUUACCAAAUGUCCUACUGGACAAAUUGUAAAAUGUAAAUAAAUAAAUAAAAAAAAAACAAUUAAAAAAAA